UGAGAUUCCCUUCGGGGCUGGCAGCACAGGAGAGCACGGGGUUGAAGCUGCAACCCAAGAAUUAACAGUGGAAGGGAGUAAGAAUUUCAUCAAGAACGUGGAGCUGUAAGAAAUGGAGUCUCAUCCAAGAGGCUUUGCACACAGAGAAACGGGUGCCAGCUGACUUACAGAACUCUCCCAGCUUCCUCUGCCUCCGUGGACAGCACAGCAGUUGGCAGAUCCAACAUCCGGAGCGUGUCUGUCUCUGACAGGUGGAUUCUGGCCUCUUCCCACCUUUCCCAAGGGUGCUCAUGGAUCAUCUCACCUGCACAGCUCCCUGGCUGCCCA